rnacentral:tRNA from 2 species
GCCUGGGUAGCUCAGUUGGUAGAGCAACGCAUUCGUAAUGCGUAGGUCAGGGGUUCGAAUCCCCUCUCAGGCUCCA